AAUAAAUUGCCUGUCAUCACCGAAACAACCUAGAGGAGGAGUAUGAUUCUUCAAUCUCGACCGCGACGGUGAUGGAUUACUCCGGCGGGGCCAGCGGGGAUGGGGCGUAGUGAAGCUAUCAGAGAUGUAUUGCAGCGCACGGAGGCUGCUGCUCUCAGCCCACGUUGAGCGGCUCGCCUCGGUGCCGCUAGCUCGUCGGCGCAGCAGGCCCGGUGGCAGUUGACGGGUGUGGAGGGAGGUGGGGUAGAUCCUGUGUGUGUGUGCUGAUGGACAGGCUCUAGCGCUCAAUCCCUGCCAAGGGCCAGCGUGAUCUCUGGAAGAGGUUUGGUCCGGGCAUGGUUGGUGAUUCCCAGGGUUGCCGGUCUUGAUCUGUGUUGUCCAAUGCUUUUUUUUAUUACACUUGAAGGCGCCUGUGAUUGGGGUGCAAGCCAGACCUGAGGGACGACCAACAGAACAUGCUUGAGAAGACGAUGGCACCCAUCAUGCAGUCGUUCCAUGGGAUCGUGACCUGCAUUGAGAUUUCAGUGUUCUGGGCUUCGCCAGACCGAGAUCAAAAAGACCCCCAUUGUAUCAAUUUACAUUGGUAACACUUUAUUAUGUCAAAUCGUUGAUUGUUCACAAUAACACUGGAAUGCUUAAAAUAUUCGCGUAGUUGCUCGGCCCUCAUGUAAUAUUCCAACAGUGCAUUUUUUGUAAUUUUGAUUGUUCGUAAGAGUUCUAGAUACUAUGCUCGAGUAGAGUAGGUUUACUAUAACAGAUUGUUUAGGAAUCACAAGUGCAGAAGGUCUUCUACCAUCCGCGCGCGGUGUGAGGGUGAAGCAAAUAUUCAUUCUAUGUGACCACGACAGGGAUGAAACAGGGCAACAAGAUUCAGGUAUAUGAUUUGAGGUUUGUAGUGGAGAAGAGCUGUGAGAACCUUCAGUUGCUUUGUUUUAUUGCAACACAUGGACAAUUAUCUUUUCUUUUUGGCGAUCACAGGGAGACAAAUAUUGUGGCAAUCAAGUCGGGGGUUCAUGGCAAGGUAUUGACAAUUUUUUAUCAAAAGCAGUUUGCUACACACUGAAGUGUGACAGAAAAUCCGUUUUGAAAAAAGUGUGACAGAAAAGGUGUGCUACUGUUUCCACAUCUCCUUUUGCGAAUCACUAAUGUUUUUCCCAUGUCUUUUCUUCCUUUUUGUAUUGACCCAGAAAUAGUUUCGGCAUUGGAGUCAGUUUCUUUGAUGUUUUCAUUGUUCUUAUCAGGAAGUGUGAAGUGAAAUUGUGGAAAUUUUCCC